rnacentral:rRNA from 1 species
UGCCAGCAGCCGCGGUAAUACGGAGGGUGCGAGCGUUAAUCGGAAUUACUGGGCGUAAAGCGCGCGUAGGCGGUUUGUUAAGUCAGCUGUGAAAGCCCCGGGCUCAACCUGGGAACUGCAGUUGAUACUGGCCGACUAGAGUACGAGAGAGGGAGGUAGAAUUCCAUGUGUAGCGGUGAAAUGCGUAGAUAUAUGGAGGAAUACCGGUGGCGAAGGCGGCCUCCUGGCUCGAUACUGACGCUGAGGUGCGAAAGCGUGGGGAUCAAACAGGAUUAGAUACCCUGGUAGUCC